CAACGAUGAAGAGUUUGAUCCUGGCUCAGGAUGAACGCUAGCGGCAGGCCUAACACAUGCAAGUCGAGGGGUAACAGGGAGUGCUUGCACUCCGCUGACGACCGGCGCACGGGUGCGCACCGCGUAUGGAACCUACCUUCUACAGGGGAAUAGCCUUUGGAAACGAAGAUUAAUGCCCCAUUGUACCUUUUCACGGCAUCGUGAAAGGGUUAAAGGCUUCGGCCGGUGGAAGAUGGCCAUGCGUCCCAUUAGCUAGAUGGUAAGGUAACGGCUUACCAUGGCUACGAUGGGUAGGGGCCCUGAGAGGGGGAUCCCCCACACUGGUACUGAGACACGGACCAGACUCCUACGGGAGGCAGCAGUGAGGAAUAUUGGACAAUGGAGGAGACUCUGAUCCAGCCAUGCCGCGUGCAGGAAGAAUGCCCUAUGGGUAGUAAACUGCUUUUAUACGGGAAGAAAAAGGGCUACGUGUAGCUUGUUGACGGUACCGUAAGAAUAAGGACCGGCUAACUCCGUGCCAGCAGCCGCGGUAAUACGGAGGGUCCGAGCGUUAUCCGGAAUUAUUGGGUUUAAAGGGUCCGUAGGCGGGCGAUUAAGUCAGUGGUGAAAGUCUGCAGCUCAACUGUAGAAUUGCCUUUGAUACUGGUCGUCUUGAGUUAUGGUGAAGUUGGCGGAAUAUGUAGUGUAGCGGUGAAAUGCAUAGAUAUUACAUAGAACACCGAUUGCGAAGGCAGCUGACUAACCAUAUACUGACGCUGAUGGACGAAAGCGUGGGGAGCGAACAGGAUUAGAUACCCUGGUAGUCCACGCCGUAAACGAUGGAUACUAGCUGUCCGGCACCUUGAGUGCUGGGCGGCCAAGCGAAAGUGAUAAGUAUCCCACCUGGGGAGUACGUUCGCAAGAAUGAAACUCAAAGGAAUUGACGGGGGCCCGCACAAGCGGUGGAGCAUGUGGUUUAAUUCGAUGAUACGCGAGGAACCUUACCAGGGCUUAAAUGCAUAUUGACAGGGGUAGAGAUACCUUUUCCUUCGGGCAAUUUGCAAGGUGCUGCAUGGUUGUCGUCAGCUCGUGCCGUGAGGUGUCAGGUUAAGUCCUAUAACGAGCGCAACCCCUACCGUUAGUUGCCAGCAUGUCAUGAUGGGGACUCUAACGGGACUGCCGGUGCAAACCGUGAGGAAGGUGGGGAUGACGUCAAAUCAUCACGGCCCUUACGUCCUGGGCCACACACGUGCUACAAUGGCAGGUACAGAGAGCAGCCACGUCGCAAGGCGGAGCGAAUCUACAAAACCUGUCACAGUUCGGAUCGGGGUCUGCAACUCGACCCCGUGAAGCUGGAAUCGCUAGUAAUCGGAUAUCAGCCAUGAUCCGGUGAAUACGUUCCCGGGCCUUGUACACACCGCCCGUCAAGCCAUGGAAGCCGGGAGUGCCUGAAGUCCGUCACCGUAAGGAGCGGCCUAGGGCAAGAUCGGUAACUAGGGCUAAGUCGUAACAAGGUAGCCGUACCGGAAGGUGCGGCUGGAACACCUCCUUUCU
rnacentral:rRNA from 1 species